GGCUUAUUGAUUUUAAUUUUAAGUCUAUCUGCCCAAUGAUUUAAUAAUUUAAUGGCUGCAGUAUAAUUGACUGUACAAAGGUAGCAUAAUCAAUUGUUUUUUAAUUAAAAACUGGAAUGAAAGAAUUAAUGAGAUAUAUACUGUCUCAUAUAUAUAUAAUAAAUUUAAAUUUUUAGUAAAAAUGCUAAAAUUUUUUUAUGGGACGAUAAGACCCUAUAGAAUUUUAUAUUUGUAUUUAGAUUAUAUAUAUUUUUAAAUGUAAAUAUUUAAUUGGGAGGAUUGUUAAAUUUAUAGAACUUUAUUUUAAAUAUAAACUUUAAUUUAAGAAUAAUUAAUGAUCUUGUAUUAUAAAUUAAAAGAAUAAAUUACCUUAGGGAUAACAGCGUAAUAUCUUUUUAAAGAUCAUAUUAAUAAAGAUGAUUGCGACCUCGAUGUUGAAUUAAGAUAAAUUUUAAAUGCAGAAGUUUAAUAAUUAAGUCUGUUCGACUUUUAAAAUCUUACAUGAUUUGAGUUCAAAUCGACGUGAGU
rnacentral:rRNA from 1 species